CCGAAUGGGGAAACCCAGUGUGAUUCGUCACACUAUCAUUAACUGAAUCCAUAGGUUAAUGAGGCGAACCGGGGGAACUGAAACAUCUAAGUACCCCGAGGAAAAGAAAUCAACCGAGAUUCCCCCAGUAGCGGCGAGCGAACGGGGAGGAGCCCAGAGCCUGAAUCAGCAUGUGUGUUAGUGGAAGCGUCUGGAAAGGCGCGCGAUACAGGGUGACAGCCCCGUACACAAAAGCGCAUGUGCUGUGAGCUCGAUGAGUAGGGCGGGACACGUGGUAUCCUGUCUGAAUAUGGGGGGACCAUCCUCCAAGGCUAAAUACUCCUGACUGACCGAUAGUGAACCAGUACCGUGAGGGAAAGGCGAAAAGAACCCCGGCGAGGGGAGUGAAAAAGAACCUGAAACCGUGUACGUACAAGCAGUGGGAGCCCCACCACCAAAGCAUUCUCUGGUGUUGAAGGCCCUGCAAAGCAGCAUCGCGGUGGCGGAGCGUCGUUUGCGACGCCCAACACACAAAACAAGCGGUGAGUGCUUUGGGGUGGGGUGACUGCGUACCUUUUGUAUAAUGGGUCAGCGACUUAUAUUCUGUAGCAAGGUUAACCGUAUAGGGGAGCCGUAGGGAAACCGAGUCUUAACCGGGCGUUAAGUUGCAGGGUAUAGACCCGAAACCCGGUGAUCUAGCCAUGGGCAGGUUGAAGGUUGGGUAACACUAACUGGAGGACCGAACCGACUAAUGUUGAAAAAUUAGCGGAUGACCUGUGGCUGGGGGUGAAAGGCCAAUCAAACCGGGAGAUAGCUGGUUCUCCCCGAAAGCUAUUUAGGUAGCGCCUCGUGAACUCAUCUCCGGGGGUAGAGCACUGUUUCGGCUAGGGGGCCAUCCCGGCUUACCAACCCGAUGCAAACUGCGAAUACCGGAGAAUGUUAUCACGGGAGACACACGGCGGGUGCUAACGUCCGUCGUGAAGAGGGAAACAACCCAGACCGCCAGCUAAGGUCCCAAAGUCAUGGUUAAGUGGGAAACGAUGUGGGAAGGCCCAGACAGCCAGGAUGUUGGCUUAGAAGCAGCCAUCAUUUAAAGAAAGCGUAAUAGCUCACUGGUCGAGUCGGCCUGCGCGGAAGAUGUAACGGGGCUAAACCAUGCACCGAAGCUGCGGCAGCGACGCUGAUGCGUUGUUGGGUAGGGGAGCGUUCUGUAAGCCUGUGAAGGUGGCCUGUGAGGGUUGCUGGAGGUAUCAGAAGUGCGAAUGCUGACAUAAGUAACGAUAAAGCGGGUGAAAAGCCCGCUCGCCGGAAGACCAAGGGUUCCUGUCCAACGUUAAUCGGGGCAGG
rnacentral:rRNA from 1 species